rnacentral:rRNA from 1 species
GACGAACCGUGCGAACGUUGUUCGGAUUCACUGGGCUUAAAGGGCGCGUAGGCGGACCUUCAAGUCAGGGGUGAAAGCCCCCGGCCCAACCGGGGGAAGUGCCUUUGAUACUGCGGGUCUCGAGCGGGAUAGGGGCAGCUGGAACUUCCGGUGGAGCGGUGAAAUGCGUAGAUAUCGGAAGGAACGCCGGUGGCGAAAGCGAGCUGCUGGAUCCCUCCUGACGCUGAGGCGCGAAAGCCAGGGGAGCCGGAACGGAGA